rnacentral:rRNA from 3 species
GGACUACAGGGGUAUCUAAUCCCGUUCGCUCCCCUGGCUUUCGCGCCUCAGCGUCAGCAGAGGUCCAGCACGCCGCUUUCGCCACCGGCGUUCCUUCCGAUAUCAACGCAUUUCACCGCUCCACCGGAAGUUCCGCAUGCCCCUACCUCCCUCGAGGCGGCCGGUAUCCAAGGCCCUUUUCCGGUUGGGCCGGAAGCUUUCACCCCGGACUCGGCCGCCCGCCUACGCGCCCUUUAAGCCCAGUGAUUCCGAACAACGUUCGCACGGUUCGUCUUACCGCGGCUGCUGGCAC